rnacentral:rRNA from 1 species
GACAGAGGGUGCGAGCGUUGUCCGGAAUCAUUGGGCGUAAAGGGCGCGUAGGUGGCCCGCUCAGCGUGCGGUGAAAGCUCGGGGCUCAACCCCGAGUCGGCCGUGCGAACUGGUGGGCUGGAGCACUGUAGAGGCAGGCGGAAUUCCGGGGUGUAGCGGUGGGAAUGCGUAGAGAUCCGGAAGAACACCGGUGGCGAAGGCGGCCUGCUGGGCAGUUGCUGACACUGAGGCGCGACAGCGUGGGGAGCAAACAGG